AGAUAUUUAUAUUAUUAAUAGGAAAGUCAUAAAUAUAUAAAUUAUAUUAUAUAAUUAAUAUAAUAAUAAAAUAAAUUAUAUAUUUUAUUUAUAAUAUUAUUUCUUUAUAAGAUAAAUAUUAUCUAAUUAAUAAUUAGAUUGAAUAAUAUUUAUAAAGAAAUAUAUAUAUAUAUAAAAAAUCAUUAUAUAAAUUUAAUUAUAAUUUAAAUAAAUUUUAUAUAAAUUAAUAUAAUAUUAAUAAAGUAAUUAGUAUAAAUAAAUAAUAUGAAAAUAAAACUUAAUAAAUAUAUAAAUAUAGUCCAUAUAUAUAUAUUAAUAAAAAGUAAUAUAUAUAUAUAUAUUGGAAUAGUUAUAUUAUUAUACAGAAAUAUGCUUAAUUAUAAUAUAAUAUCCA
rnacentral:RNase_MRP_RNA from 4 species